GCCACGGUGGUCUAGCGGUUAGAACGCUGGCCUUGUAAUCCUGGGGUCUCGGGUUCGAUUCCCGGUGGGGCC
rnacentral:tRNA from 1 species